rnacentral:rRNA from 1 species
GCAACUCGCCUGCAUGAAGUUGGAAUUGCUAGUAAUGGCAGGUCAGCAUACUGCCGUGAAUACGUUCCCGGGCCUUGUACACACCGCCCGUCACACCAUGAGAGUUGGGGAUACCCGAAGCCUGUGAGCCAACUGUAAAGAGGCAGCAGUCGAAGGUAGAAUCAAUGAUUGGGGUGAAGUCGUAACAAGGUAUC